GACGAACGCUGGCGGCGUGCUUAACACAUGCAAGUCGAACGAAGAGCGAUGGAAGCUUGCUUCUAUCAAUCUUAGUGGCGAACGGGUGAGUAACGCGUAAUCAACCUGCCCUUCAGAGGGGGACAACAGUUGGAAACGACUGCUAAUACCGCAUACGAUCUAAUCUCGGCAUCGAGGAUAGAUGAAAGGUGGCCUCUACAUGUAAGCUAUCACUGAAGGAGGGGAGUGCGUCUGAUUAGCUAGUUGGAGGGGUAACGGCCCAACAAGGCGAUGAUCAGUAGCCGGUCUGAGAGGAUGAACGGCCACAUUGGGACUGAGACACGGCCCAGACUCCUACGGGAGGCAGCAGUGGGGAAUCUUCCGCAAGGGACGAAAGUCUGACGGAGCAACGCCGCGGGAGUGAUGACGGCCUUCGGGUUGUAAAGCUCUGUUAAUCGGGACGAAAGGCCUUCUUGCGAAUAGUGAGAAGGAUUGACGGUACCGGAAUAGAAAGCCACGGCUAACUACGUG
rnacentral:rRNA from 1 species